rnacentral:rRNA from 1 species
AGCUCGUGUCGUGAGAUGUAGGGUUAAGUCCCGCAACGAGCGCAACCCUUGUCUUUAAUUGCCAUCAUUGAGUUGGGCACUUUAAAGAGACUGCCGGUGUUAAACCGGAGGAAGGUGGGGAUGACGUCAAGUCCUCAUGGCCUUUAUGCCCAGGGCUACACACGUGCUACAAUGGGUGGUACAAAGAGCAGCCAGCUCGCGAGAGUGAGCAAAUCUCAAAAAGCCAUCCUCAGUUCGGAUUGAAGUCUGCAACUCGACUUCAUGAAGUUGGAAUCGCUAGUAAUCGCGGAUCAGCAUGCCGCGGUCGAAUACGUUCCGGCCUU